AUACUCUGGUUUCUCUUCAGAUCGAAUAAAUCUUUCUCCUUGUACUAAAGAUAUCCAUGGAGAGAAACAACUCUGAGUGUCCAGCCAAUUUUUUGAGGCCUUGCCUUGGCAGGGCC